UAUCAGAAGACCUGCAAUUUCUA
rnacentral:siRNA from 1 species